rfam:Ictidomys tridecemlineatus contig092327, whole genome shotgun sequence.
GGGGGUGUAGCUCAGGGGUAGAGUAUUGCCUAGCAUGCAGAGGCCCUGGGUUCAAUCCCCAACAGUCCUC